rnacentral:misc_RNA from 1 species
AGACAAUCUGCCACGCCGUCCGCAAAUGCGAAGAAAAUGUCGUUUUCGCCUACAUUCUACGCGGAUUAUGGACUUCGAUGUGAGAAAACGGAUACAUUUCCAGGAUUGCUUCAUCGUAGAAAACGAGAAAAAAGUAAUGUGGAAAUUGUUAAACAGAUAGAACAAAAAGCCAAUCGGCAUAUUUACGCGUGCCAGGUGUUGAGCAAUUCCAAGCGAGGAAGCAAAGCUGCACAGAGCGUCAACACCCUGAAACAGACGGUCGGGCCAAAACGGGCGUCUACGUCACAACUGCCAACAACGUUUGUAAGGCAACAUUUACACCACGCUCCAGAGAGACAAGCAACAUUUGUUGAUGUAUCGAAACGAGCACCAUUCUCGCUUUUCAUUCGAACACGAGAAUCUCCCGAUUUCUCGAGAGCUCCUCGUCACAAAACGGCGCCUCUACCGGAAAUCAACGGCAGGACACUUAUCUUGGGAUUUGACACAAAACAUUGAAGAAUACUCAAGGGAUAUUAUGGCGAAAUAAGUUCAUUACCAAGUGCAUUACUUAUGGGAUACUGAUAUUUCGUGAUCACAUGGGUGAUAAAUUUGUGCCAAGACAGCCUCACUGUGCGAAUACAUUGUGAAGAGCUCUUUACGUAUACAAAGUAUAUUAUCUUUAUGCGUCCAAUAUUAUCUCAUAAACAAAUUUAUGUAUAUAAUUAUACCAUGUUUGUAAAACUAAACUAAGAACUAGAUUUUGUU